rnacentral:rRNA from 1 species
AACGAACGUUGGCGGCGCGCCUAACACAUGCAAGUCGCACGAGAAAGGGAGCAAUCCCCGGUACAGUGGCGCACGGGUGAGUAACACGUGGAUAAUCUUCCCUUGGGCGGGGGAUAACCUUCCGAAAGGAGGGCUAAUACCGUAUAAGACCACAGCGAGUUCGCUCGCAGGGGUCAAAGCUGGCCUCUUCAUGAAAGCUAGCACCUAAGGAUGAGUCUGCGUCCCAUCAGCUAGUUGGUAGUGUAAAAGACUACCAAGGCGAAGACGGGUAGGUGGACGGAGAGGAAGAUCAGCCACACUGGAACUGUGACACGGUCCAGACUCCUACGGGGGGCAGCAGUGGGGAAUCUGGCGCAAGGGGAGACAGCCUGACGCAGCGACGCCGCGUGGGUGAUGAAGGCCCUCGGGUUGUAAAGCCCUGUGGGGAGGGACGAAUAAGUCGUGGCUAAUAUCCACGAUGAUGACGGUACCUCCUUAGCAAGCACCGGCUAACUCUGUGCCAGCCGCCGCAGUAA